AACCAUUAUAUUUGCUAGUGACUCCUCAGGCAAAAAUUAUUGACUGUGUAUUAUGUGUUUGAGUGACAUUUUUGUUGUCAUUUCUGCCUUAGCUUUUACCAAAAGUUUUUUGAAACUUGAAAACUGAGCUACUUGCAAUACUCUGGGGGCCAAGUGCAAGAGGAAAAAUUUUAUGUGAAUUUGUUCCAUAAUGAUAUAUGCCCAGCAUGGGGUGGAAUGCGAAGAAGGAAAAAGGUUGAAGACAUUGAACAACUUUAUUGAGCCUCCUGUGUGGUGUCUUUACAGUAGGACAUUAUUAUUUCCCUUGGAGUGGAUCCCCAGCGCAGCAGAUUCCAUCUUAGUCAAAUGUCAGUGUAAAAACACAAUUGCUUGAUUCAAAGUACAAGCUUUCCUAGGAUGAUUUGCCAGCUUGGGUUAUUUUCUUUUCCGUUUGCUUCCAUUUAUAACAACAACCGACAGUUACUUGCACCUAUAUAAGACUUAUGACAAUUUUUCCUCUUAAUUAAUUGCAUGGUUUUAUUUGCUUAUCUUUUACUUGCAAAAUCUGCAAUAAAAUUCCAGUCUCACGUG
rnacentral:lncRNA from 10 species